AGCUUUGCGCAGUGGCAGUAUAGUAGCCAAUGAGGUUUAUCUAAGACAUGAUUACUGCUAAUUAAAAAAAAUUAAAAAAGCUUUUUCAAUUCCUAAAUGACCUCUAAGUAAAAUGCUGAUAACUAUCAUAAUCACCAUAG
rnacentral:snRNA from 1 species